rnacentral:misc_RNA from 1 species
UGGAUGCUCAGACCCGGUUAUAAGCAACCGACUUGCUGAAGAGCCGACGAAUGUAAAUGACCUGAAGCCCACUUGCAACAGCAAGCAACAAAUACUCUCCCACUGUAUAGAAAAUUACACGCUUUCUUGUACUCUCGUUUGUGUGACGGUGGCGUGCAUCACGUGCUUUCAAAUACUUCUGCUCAGCAGUGACUGACUCCAAUGCCUCUCUAAGCUCUGCAAUUUUAACAUUUAUAGGGUCUAGGUGUUCAUCUUUAGCAAGGUCAUGUUCAUUUGGAAUGUGACCAACAUGGAUGUAGAAAGAAACUGUCUCCGGAGUCGAGUAGG